ACCGCCAGCGCCCGCGCCCAAACCCUUGCCCCCGCAUCGGAGCCGCGCGAUGCGCGCCACGCGUUCCGGCCCGCGUCCAUCAGCCGUCCGCGCGCCCCGCCCCCGCGAAACCCGCUACCUCCAAAAGCCCCUUUGGCUGCCACCCGAAACCCUAAAAGCCCCGGGGACUUUUCCCCUUCCGCCGCCGCCACACCUGAGGAGAAGAGGGAGCCAAGAGAUGGAGGAGAAGCCGCCCGUGCCAGAGUUCUUCGUCGCUGGGGAGCUUCACUGCACCGGCGACCCGAUCAACUAUAGCACCGCCGCAACUCUACCUGCACCGCUUCAACCCGUCACGUUAUACAGUGCCAGGGGAACCAAGGCCUGCGUACGAAGGUCAGGUUCAAAAUCUUGGAAAAGAUGGAUUUAGAUUAGCGAUCCACUUUGAGCAUCUACUGGAUAGUUUGCGGCAAGACCGGAAACACAAGAAGUAUUUGAAUCUGGUUCUGAGGAUAGGAAACGAGCCCAAUGAUAGUUGGCUAGCCCCUGCCAUACAAGAAUUGAUGAUGAAAAGAGGAAAGUCGGAAAGUGCCCACGUGUCCUUUGUGAAAAAGCCCAAAGGUAAAGUCAUUGUUCAUUUCAGUUGAAUUGCUCUGCUGCAACUUGCAAUUAAUGAUUAGAUCGACAUCAUUAUCUCGUCAAUUUGCACUAUUUCAUGUUUGGAAGAGUUUUUAACAACAAGGGUCGUCGAACAACCAGAACAGUACCAGUAUUAGCUCAGUGCUCUUCAGUUUCGGCCUACGCCGCAACUACACGCGGACGGUAUGGAUUUCAGAUUCCACUGCUUAAUUUGUUGAGCUACUUUGCCAAAGAUUACUGGUUUGAAGAGAAGUUUGAUAUUGAUGACUUCGUCGUCGUUGAAUCAGAGUUUUCCUACAUAUUUCAGAAACUACGUUCUUUGUCUCAACUGCAUAAAUUCAUACCAGGUAUUUCACCAAACGAUGCAGCUAAGACAAUGGCUACUGCUAAGAUAUAAAACCUAGCUUCCUUGUGGGAUAACAUGGAACCAUUCUUUAUAAAAAGUGGAAAUCUACCAAUCUAUUUUGCAACGUUAAAAUAUGAUAUGUCAAGUGGUAUUGUGGAUCUUAUCAAAAAAGGCUUUGUUGACCUAUGUUGCGAAUCAUUUCUCUUUUAGUUCGUCCAUGUGUCGCAAGUCUUUUACAAAUGAGUUUUAUCAAGUCUACAAAAGCCUUGGCUAGGUUCAGUCUCAAAUCAGUUUUGGCAACAGCCCCGGGUGCUAUUGAUUGGAGAGUGCAGAUUGGGUUGUCUAGUGAAUACAUACUGAAAAAUUAUUUCUACCAUGGCGUUGAUUUGCAUAGGAAGAUUAAGCCAAUCGGUCAAUUCAUAAAGUUUGGUGAGUUUCAAAGGGUAGAUUGAUCUUACUAUUUAAAAGCUCGUGCAAAUACAACUGAAGUACUACUGGAAUACAAGAGACAUCUGUUGGAACAUCUGGAAAAACAUUUCAGAAGAAAUGGAAAGGAAAUCCAGAAAAUGGAAGAAUCUGCUAAGGCUAAGGGGCAGUUGAAGUCAGUGGUUCAAACAAUUAAAAUUAAAGAUUUCAAUAAUAUCGAGUUAUUUGCAUCAGGUUUAUUGCCUCAAGCUGAAACAAUCGUGUUAAAGUAUAUAAUGGAGAAUAAUAAUAUGAAAGAGUAAAUGCCCUCCUUUUUGUUUGCUCCAAUUAAUAUCUUUUUCUUGAACUAUUUUCUGAAAAAAUAUGUACUUUUUUUUAGCUUUGGAAUCCUCUGUCAUUUUACAAAGCUAGAAUAUCUGAUAAAAGAGAUUUUUUGUACAACUUAUCAUUUAGGGUAUUAGGACAGAUAUGGAUAUUGUAGUGUAUUAGUAUUUUUUUUUCUCUAGAGCCUGUUAUAACAAGAGUCUCAAGUUUUGUGGCUAUGGCGGUUGAGGUCAGCACUGGUGAUACUGUAAUUAGAUCCAUGCAAUACUCAGCUCUGUAAAGUGCUUUUAACUUCAAAAAUUUUUUAGCUUAAACAUACGUGAAAGAAAGUAGCAUAUGAUUAGAAUCAGAUUAGCUUUAUUAUCUACUUUUUUGAUCUAUAUACUCCAUACUCUGUGAUAUUGGUAUUAACGAUCUCAGAACUUACAUUUGUAGGCAGAAAGUCACAUGCCUAACUCUAACAUGGACAUGUCAUACCAAUAUCACAAAGCAUGGACGAUAUAUCAGAAAAAGUAGAUAAAUAGAGCUAAUAUGAUUCUAAUCAUAAGCUACUUUCAUUUAAAUUUCAUUUACGUAUGUUUAAGCAAUAAAAAUUUUCAAGUUAAAAGCACUUUACAAUGCAGAUUAUUGUAUGGAUCCAGAUGUAGUAUCACCAGUGCAGACCUAAACCGCUAUAGCCACAAAAUUUGAGGCCUUUACUGCAGCAGUCUCCAGAGCACAAAAAAAUGCUAAUACACUACGCUAUCCAUAUCUGUCCUAAUACCCUAAUACCCUAAAGGAUCAGUUUCACGGAAGAUCUCUUUUAUCAGACAUUCCAGUUUUGUAUAAUGACAGAAGACUCCCAAAGCUAAAAAAAAAGUACAUAUUUUUUCAGAAAAGAGUUCAAAGAAAAGAUAUUAGCAGAAGUCAAAGAAAUGAGUGCACUUACUCUUUCAUGUUGUUCUCCAUUAUAUGUUUUAGCACGACUGUUUCAGCUUGAGGCAAUGAACCUGAUGCAAAUAACUCGAUAUCAUCGAAAUUUUUGAUUUUAAUUGUUUGAAUCACUGACUUCAACUAUCCCUUAGCCUUAGCAGAUUCUUCUAUUUUCUGGAUUUUCUUUUCAUUUCUUUUGAAAUGUUCAUCCAGAUGUUACAACAGAUGUCUCUUGUAUUCCAUCAGUGCUUCAGUUGUAUCUGCACGAGCUUUUAAAUAGUAAGACCAAUCUAUCUUUUGAAACUCACCAAACUUUAUGAAUUGAGCGAUUGACUUAAUCUUCGUAUCCAAAUCAACGCCAUGCAAGAAAUAAUUUUACAGUACGUAUUCACUAUACAACCCAAUCUGCACUCUCCAAUCAAUAGCACCUGGCGCUAUUGCCAAAACUGAUUUGAGACUGGAGUCCUCGCCAAGGCUUUUGUAGACUUGAUAAAACUCAUUUGUAAAAGACUUGCGACACAUGGACGAACUAAAAGAGAAAUGAUUCGCAACAUAGGUCAACAAAGCCUUUUUUGAUAAGAUCCACAAUACCACUUGACAUAUCAUAUUUUAACGUUGCAAAAUAGAUUGGUAGAUUUCCACUUUUUAUAAAGAAUGGUUCCAUGUUAUCCCACAAGGAAGCUAGGUUUUGUGUCUUAGCAGUAGCAAUUGUCUUAGCUGCAUCGUUUGGUGAAAUACCUGGUAUGAAUUUAUGCAGUUGAGAUAAAGAACGUAGUUUCUGAAAUAUGUAGGAAAACUCUGAUUCAACGAUGACGAAAUCAUCAAUAUCAAACUUCUCUUCAAACCAGUAAUUUUUGGCAAAGUAGCUCAACAAAUUAAGCAGUGGAAUCUGAAAUCCAUACCGUCCGCAUGUAGUUGCGGCGUAGGCCGAAACUGAAGAGCACUGGCCUAAUACUGGUACUGUUCUGGUUGUUCGACGACCCUUGUUCGUUAAAAACUCUUCCAAACAUGAAAUAGUGCAAAUUGACAAGAUAAUGAUGUCGAUCUAAUUAUUAAUUGCAGGUUGCAGCAGAGCAAUUCAACUGAAAUGAACAAUGACUUUACCUUUGGGCUUUUUCACAAAGGACACGUGGGCACUUUCCGACUUUCCUCUUUUCAUCGUCAAUUCUUGUAUGGCAGGGGCUAGCCAACUAUCAUUGGGCUCGUUUCCUAUCCUCAGAACCAGAUUCAAAUACUUCUUGUGUUUCCGGUCUUGCCGCAAACUAUCCAGUAGAUGCUCAAAGUGGAUCGCUAAUCUAAAUCCAUCUUUUCCAAGAUUUUGAACCUGACCUUCGUAGGCAGGUCUUGGUUCCCCUGGCACUGUAUAACUGCAAAGCCCAAAAGUUAGAACAAGGUUUCAAAAUUUUGGCAAAUUUAGAAUAGAGUUUACAAACUUUUGGUGAACUUAGAACAUGAUUUACAGAAUUUUAGUGAAUUGGUUUU